GACGAACGCUGGCGGCGUGCCUAAUACAUGCAAGUCGAACGCUUCUUUCCUCCCGAGUGCUUGCACUCAAUUGGAAAGAGGAGUGGCGGACGGGUGAGUAACACGUGGGUAACCUACCCAUCAGAGGGGGAUAACACUUGGAAACAGGUGCUAAUACCGCAUAACAGUUUAUGCCGCAUGGCAUAAGAGUGAAAGGCGCUUUCGGGUGUCGCUGAUGGAUGGACCCGCGGUGCAUUAGCUAGUUGGUGAGGUAACGGCUCACCAAGGCCACGAUGCAUAGCCCACCUGGGGGGGGUAUCGGCCAACCUGGGAAUGGAACAGGGCCCAAACCCCUACGGGGGGGAGGAGGAGGGAAUUUUCGGGAAGGGAAGAAAGUCUGACCGGGCAACGCCGGGGGAGUGAAAAAGGUUUUCGGAUCGAAAAACUCUUUUUUUAGAGAAGAAAAAGGACGUUAGUAACUGAACGUCCCCUGACGGUAUUAACCCAGAAAGCCACGGCUAACUACGU
rnacentral:rRNA from 1 species